rnacentral:rRNA from 1 species
AUUGAACGCUGGCGGCAUGCCUUACACAUGCAAGUCGAACGGCAGCACGGGAGCAAUCCUGGUGGCGAGUGGCGAACGGGUGAGUAAUAUAUCGGAACGUGCCCGGUCGUGAGGGAUAACGUAGCGAAAGCUACGCUAAUACCGCAUACGAUCUAUGGAUGAAAGCGGGGGAUCGCAAGACCUCGCGCGAUUGGAGCGGCCGAUAUCAGAUUAGGUAGUUGGUGAGGUAAAGGCUCACCAAGCCGACGAUCUGUAGCUGGUCUGAGAGGACGACCAGCCACACUGGGACUGAGACACGGCCCAGACUCCUACGGGAGGCAGCAGUGGGGAAUUUUGGACAAUGGGCGCAAGCCUGAUCCAGCAAUGCCGCGUGCAGGAUGAAGGCC